AUUGAACGCUGGCGGCAGGCCUAACACCUGCAAGUCGAACGAGUGGCGGACGGGUGAGUAAUGUCUGGGAAACUGCCUGAUGGAGAGGGAUAACUACUGGAAACGGUAGCUAAUACCGCAUACCAUCAGAUGUGCCCAGAGGGGAUUAGCUAGUUGGUGGGGUAACGGCUCACCAAGGCGACGAUCCCUAGCUGGGCUGAGAGGAUGACCAGCCACACUGGAACUGAGACACUGUCCAGACUCCUACGGUAGGCAGCAGUGGGGAAUAUUGAACAAGGGGCGAAAGCCUGAUGCAGCCAUGCCGCGUGUAUGAAGAAGGCCUUCGGGUUGUAAAGGACUUUCAGCGGGGAGGCGUUACCCGCAGAAGAAGCACCGGCUAACUCCGUGCCAGCAGCCGCGGUAAUUC
rnacentral:rRNA from 1 species